CUCUGAGGCGGGCCAAGAGCGUAGUUCUGGUUGUUGCUGUCUGGGCUCACAGUGUGGCAUUAUCAUUUCAUCUUCAGCGCCUCUUCCUGAGGAGACUCUGCCCCUGGUCUGAGACACAUCCACAACUGAGCAUUAUUUGGACAGCAAGGAGAUCAAACCAGUCAAUCCUAAAGGAAAUCAACCCUGAAUAUUAAUUGGAAGGACUGAUGCUGAAGCUGAAACUCCAAUACUUUGGCUACCUGCUACAAAGAGCUGACUCAUUGGAAAAGACCCCGAUGCUGGGAAAGAUUGAGGGCAGGAGGAGAAGGAGACGACAGAGGAUGAGAUGGUUGGAUGGCAUUACCAACUCGAUGGACAUGAGUUUGAGCAAACUCUAAGCAACAGUGAAGGGCAGGGAAGCCUGGCAUGCAGCAGUUCAUAGAGUUGCAAAGAGUUGGACAUGACUUGGCGACUGAAUGAUAACAACACCAGCAUUCUUUAUAAAAGGAACAGGAUAGGAUGGAGUGGAAAUGGCAUUGUUUAUUUAUUUAUUUGGCUAUGCCAGGUCUUGGGUGCAGCACACAGGAUCUAGUCCCCUGACCAGGGAUCGAACCUGUGCCCCCUGCAUUGUGAGCUCCGAAUCUUAGCCACUGGACCACCAAGGAAGUCCUGGAAAUUGUAUUGCUUCAUCACCCUUUCAUUUCAGGGCUACACCCAAGCUCCCAGGCUCUAACCAUGCCUCUCUUUCUCUCCUCUCUUCCCUCCUUCCUGCAGAAACGUUAGCCAGAGGGCCCCUCCCAACCUCUCUGCUAAUGACACUAAUUAGCAAACCCACUUUCACCUGGUGGGCAGCUUGGCAUCAGGAGACUUUCAACACCAGAACUUCCUCCUCAUCCUGCCAGGACUGGGAGAAUUGAGCAUCUCAAAGAGGGCAGGUGCCAAUCUCCCUUGGCAAGCCAUGGCAUUUCUCUACUUUUGUCAAAACUGUAGCAAAAUCCAGCUCAGUUUCUUGAGUUCUUCUGAAACUCAGAAAAGAAAAAAUAAGGAUUCCAUAUUCUAUUCCUGAACUUGCUGUACUGAGUUUCUUCUGUUAUAUUUGUCUGUUUCUGCACUAAAACCACAGAGGUUUAGUUAUUCUACUUCAAUAGGAGUAUUAGUAGAUUUAGUUAUUCUACAUCAGUAAAUACAUGUCUUUCCCCAGUAUUGGUUGUUUCCAAAUGACAGAGUGCUCAGGGCUGGGGCACUGG
ensembl:lncRNA